rnacentral:rRNA from 1 species
AUUGAACGCUGGCGGCAUGCCUUACACAUGCAAGUCGAACGGUAACGCGGGGCAACCUGGCGACGAGUGGCGAACGGGUGAGUAAUGCAUCGGAACGUGCCCAGAAGUGGGGGAUAGCCCGGCGAAAGCCGGAUUAAUACCGCAUGAGACCUGAGGGUGAAAGCGGGGGAUCGCAAGACCUCGCGCUUUUGGAGCGGCCGAUGUCAGAUUAGCUAGUUGGUGGGGUAAAGGCCUACCAAGGCGACGAUCUGUAGCUGGUCUGAGAGGACGACCAGCCACACGGGGACUGAGACACGGCCCAGACUCCGACGGCAGGCAGCAGUGGGGAAUUUUGGACAAUGGGCGCAAGCCUGAUCCAGCCAUGCCGCGUGCGGGAAGAAGGCCUUCGGGUUGUAAACCGCUUUUGUCAGGGAAGAAACGCUCUGGGCUAAUACCCUGGGGUAAUGACGGUACCUGAAGAAUAAGCACCGGCUAACUACGUGCCAGCAGCCGCCGUAA